GGGGGGAGGCCGGAUCCUGGGCUGUGUCCCGGCGCCCUGAGCUCCAGGGCCUGCGCUGUUGGAUUCGCGCUCUGGCUGCGCAGCCCCCU
rnacentral:pre_miRNA from 1 species